CGGGGCGUGGCGCAGCCAGGUUAGCGCACCACGUUUGGGACGUGGGGGUCGUCGGUUCGAAUCCGACCGCCCCGA
rnacentral:tRNA from 5 species